UGGGGAAUAUUGGGCAAUGGGCGCAAGCCUGACCCAGCAACGCCGCGUGAAGGAAGAAGGCUUUCGGGUUGUAAACUUCUUUUGUCAGGGACGAGUAGAAGACGGUACCUGACGAAUAAGCAACGGCUAAUUACGUGCCAGCAGCCGCGGUAACACGUAAGUUGCGAGCGUUGUUCGGAAUUAUUGGGCGUAAAGGGCAUGUAGGCGGUUUUGCAAGCUUGGUGUGAAAUGCAUAGGCUCAACCUAUGAACUGCAUUGAGAACUACAAGACUUGAGUUACUGAGGUGGAACUGGAAUUCCAGGUGUAGGGGUGAAAUCUGCAGAUAUCUGGAAG
rnacentral:rRNA from 1 species